GAUCAUUAGUGAAGUUUCGGGCCUGCCAUACGGACGCAAACACGUCUCUGGCGCCCAUCACUAUAUCCAUACCAACCCCUGUGCACUGUGAUGACGAAUGUCAUCGAACAAAAAAAAACUCGUAUGGUUGAAUGUACGUGAAAUUGUAGGUAUAGCCUACGAACUAUACACAACUUUCGACAACGGAUCUCUUGGUUCUCCCAUCGAUGAAGAACGCAGCGAAACGCGAUAGGUAAUGUGAAUUGCAGAAUUCCGUGAAUCAUCGAAUCUUUGAACGCACCUUGCGCUCCAUGGUAUUCCGUGGAGCAUGCCUGUUUGAGUGCCGCGAAUUCUCCCUCCCCUUACGGUGGCCGAAAGGCCGAAGUAGGGCGGACGGGGUAGGAUGGGUGUUUGCUGCCUGGGGAUUGUACCAGGCUCGCCCGAAAUGCAUAAGCGCCAGGACCCUCGCUACCGCUCUCUAGGGAAGAGUGGCUAAGCGACCGCUGAGCAUGGCAUGAUACGUCAUUUGCUGUGUGUGGGCGGCCGGUUGGAGAGGUGUCUGCUUUACCAGCCCUAUUUUAAUUCUGGUCUCAAAUCAGGUAGGAUCACCCGCUGAACCUAAGC
rnacentral:misc_RNA from 1 species